rnacentral:misc_RNA from 1 species
CCUCCGUUGGUGAACCAGCGGAGGGAUCAUUACCGAGUGCAAACUCGUAACCCUUUGUGAACCUAUAUCUGUUGCUUCGGCGGCUCGCUCUCGGGCGAGCCCGCCGGUAAUAUCAGUAUCUCUGUUUGAACCCGACGAUACUUCUGAGUGUUCUUAGCGAACAGUUAAAACUUUUAACAACGGAUCUCUUGGCUCUA